rnacentral:rRNA from 1 species
UGGGGAAUAUUGCACAAUGGGCGCAAGCCUGAUGCAGCCAUGCCGCGUGUAUGAAGAAGGCCUUCGGGUUGUAAAGUACUUUCAGCGGGGAGGAAGGGAGUAAAGUUAAUACCUUUGCUCAUCGACGUUACCCGCAGAAGAAGCACCGGCUAACUCCGUGCCAGCAGCCGCGGUAAUACGGAGGGUGCAAGCGUUAAUCGGAAUUACUGGGCGUAAAGCGCACGCAGGCGGUUUGUUAAGUCAGAUGUGAAAUCCCCGGGCUCAACCUGGGAACUGCAUCUGAUACUGGCAAGCUUGAGUCUCGUAGAGGGGGGUAGAAUUCCAGGUGUAGCGGUGAAAUGCGUAGAGAUCUGGGGGAAUACCGGUGGCGAAGGCGGCCCCCUGGACGAAGACUGACGCUCAGGUGCGAAAGCGUGGGGAGCAAACAGG